rnacentral:rRNA from 1 species
UACAGAGGCCACGAGCGUUAGGCGGAAUCACUGGGCUUAAAGCGUGUGUAGGUGGAUCGGUAAGUACCUUGUGAAAUCCCACGACUCAAUCGUGGAACUGCUUGGUAUACUGCCAGUCUUGAGGUACUCCGGGGCAAGCGGAACAGAUGGUGGAGCGGUGAAAUGCGUAGAUAUCAUCUGGAACGCCAAUGGUGAAGACAGCUUGCUGGGGGUAUUCUGACACUGAGACACGAAAGCCAGGGGAGCAAACGGG